rnacentral:rRNA from 1 species
AUUGAACGCUGGCGGCAGGCCUAACACAUGCCAGUCGAGCGGAUGAAGGGAGCUUGCUCCUGGAUUCAGCGGCGGACGGGUGAGUAAUGCCUAGGAAUCUGCCUGGUAGUGGGGGAUAACGUCCGGAAACGGGCGCUAAUACCGCAUACGUCCUGAGGGAGAAAGUGGGGGAUCUUCGGACCUCACGCCAUCAGAUGAGCCUAGGUCGGAUUAGCUAGUUGGUGGGGUAAAGGCCUACCAAGGCGACGAUCCGUAACUGGUCUGAGAGGAUGAUCAGUCACACUGGAACUGAGACACGGUCCAGACUCCUACGGGAGGCAGCAGUGGGGAAUAUUGGACAAUGGGCGAAAGCCUGAUCCAGCCAUGCCGCGUGUGUGAAGAAGGUCUUCGGAUUGUAAAGCACUUUAAGUUGGGAGGGAGGGCAGUAAGUUAAUACCUUGCUGUUUUGACGUUACCAACAGAAUAAGCACCGGCUAACUUCGUG